CUUUUGAAUAAUGCAGAAAUGGGCAAUUUAUAAAAAUGUAAUUACCGUGAAUGUGGUGCAGAUGUGAGUACGAUUUUAUUUGGCAGACGUGUAAUACAUAACAGGACUGUGUACAGCAACAUAUAGCAUUCUUGUGUCAGAAACAGUGGAGGUUUUUUCCUCUCUGUACCCUCCUUAGUUAUCCAUAAACCAAAUAGCAUGCAGUGUUACAUGGGCAGAAAAUGAUACCUGGUGUAUCACACUCGACCUCAACCGGGGAUAAAAUGAUACCUAGAGCAUCACACUCGACCCUGACAGGGGCCCAACCAGCUAUGCCAAGACAAAACAUGCAAAAGAAAUAUUCUGGAAAAACUUCAAAUCCAUGAAGACAGGCAAUAGAGAUGUGUAGCAGUAUUGUGUACCAAUUCCUCUGCACUGAUCUGGAGACAUCUGUUGGCCUUCCAUCUCUCGUUUCAUUGAAACACUUAUGCACUAUACAUUACAAAAGUGACAGAAACUCCGGCAACAAAAUUCAAUUAGCAAUGAAGAAUAUGAGUACCUCCAUCAGUAAAAUCCUCAAAUUUUAAGACAUAUGCAAAAUCCAUUUACAAUGAUGGUGUGAUAAUGACCCCCCCUUUCUCUCAGGCAUUUAGUAAUUACACAUGAUAUGUGUCAGACAGGCUCUAUAGAAUUUAUUAUUGCAAACAUUCUCCCCUUCUUUCCACCAAUAUGUCACCAUAUUAAUAAAAUUAGGAGCCCAUAAUCGCCCUGAUAAAUAACUUUAACACAUGUCUGUGUCUGGGCAGAUGGUAUUCACCUCUGUUUUUACCGAAUCAUACACCUCGUUUGAAAACCAUUGGUCUGGGAACUCUUCAAUGUGGAGGCUGCAAACUUUUAAUGUACAAUGGAAUUCUGGCCAAUAAAUUUCUGACAAGAUUUUUCAAAUGAAUUUAUCCCUGUAUGUCAGACGGAUACAGUUGUCCCGACUCAUCAUUACCACGGCAAACUUUUCUCCCCAAUAUCAACUUCCUGUUGCAUGAAAUUUAAAACCAUUUUCAACUGAAUAUAAUACUUUUACAGAAAGAACAAAAAUAAAAUAAAAAUGUGCUACAUAGCUUAA